GCUUACGGCCACACCUCCCUGAGCACGCCUGAUCGUCUGAUCUCGGAAGCUAAGCAGGGUCGGGCCGGUUAGUACUUGGAUGGGAGACCGCCUGGGAAUACCAGGUGCUGUAAGCC
rnacentral:rRNA from 1 species